rnacentral:rRNA from 1 species
GAUGAACGCUGGCGGCGUGCCUAAUACAUGCAAGUCGAGCGAACGGACGAGAAGCUUGCUUCUCUGAUGUUAGCGGCGGACGGGUGAGUAACACGUGGAUAACCUACCUAUAAGACUGGGAUAACUUCGGGAAACCGGAGCUAAUACCGGAUAAUAUUUUGAACCGCAUGGUUCAAAAGUGAAAGACGGUCUUGCUGUCACUUAUAGAUGGAUCCGCGCUGCAUUAGCUAGUUGGUAAGGUAACGGCUUACCAAGGCAACGAUGCAUAGCCGACCUGAGAGGGUGAGCGGCAACAGUGGAACAGAGCCACGGUCCAGACUCCGCCGGGGGGCAGCAUGAGGAAUUCUUCCGAAAGGGGGGAAAGCCUGAGGAUCCACCGCCGGGGGGGUGUGGAAGUUCUUAGUAUCGAAAACCUCUUUAAUAGGGAAAAACAAUAUGUUUAAUUACUUCUGCACUUCUUGAGGUUCCCUAAUAAGAAGCCCACGCCUACCUCGGUC